AUGAUUGAUAAUUUAUCGCCCUUUGAAUCGACACGCCAUUUGUAAACAUCGAAGGUCGCGGAGAAAAUGAAACUACCAAAAACAAUUAUUUGAUGAUUUAUUUCGAUUGUAUAAAGAAUGACAGUUAGCGAAUCUCAAGAUCAACCACUGAGGAUUGUUUGGCUUGAUGCAAUGACCUUAAACAGUGAAAUGAUUUUCCAGGAAGGUCUAUACACAACAAGCUGGAUUUUAUGGGGAGAUGAAAGAACUAUGAAUAUGUAAAUGGGAAUGAAACAGAAGGAAUUAAUAUGUUCUACUGAUCAUCCAGCUGAAAUCAUGCCUGUGGAAUAGAGUGCAUGUCACAAAUACUGAUAUGAGCAAAUAACUCCAUAUUGCACAAAUAAUGUCAUGUUUUCUGCCCUCAUGACCUGAAAAAGUUAAAAAUUCUAGUUCAAAU